GUGAGGAAUAUUGGUCAAUGGGCGGGAGCCUGAACCAGCCAAGUCGCGUGAAGGAAGAAGGAUCUAUGGUUCGUAAACUUCUUUUGCAGGGGAAUAAAGUGCAGGACGUGUCCUGUUUUGUAUGUACCCUGAGAAUAAGGAUCGGCUAACUCCGUGCCAGCAGCCGCGGUAAUACGGAGGAUCCGAGCGUUAUCCGGAUUUAUUGGGUUUAAAGGGUGCGUAGGUGGGUUGAUCAGUCAGCGGUGAAAGUUUGCAGCUUAACUGUAAAAAUGCCGUUGAAACUGUCGGACUUGAGUGUAAAUGAGGUAGGCGGAAUGCGUGGUGUAGCGGUGAAAUGCAUAGAUAUCACGCAGAACACCGAUUGCGAAGGCAGCUUACUAAGCUACAACUGACACUGAAGCACGAAAGCGUGGGGAUCAAACAGGAUUAGAUACCCUGGUAGUCC
rnacentral:rRNA from 1 species